rnacentral:rRNA from 1 species
UAAUAAUAAAGUGAAUAAGUGCUUGAACAUUAAUAGUUAUAUUCUUUAAAGUCAAAGAAUUUGGCGGUAUUUUAGUCUCGUUAGAGGAACCUGUUUUAUGAGCGAUAAAACACGUAAUAUCUUACUUAUUUUUGUUUAAAUAACAGCUUGUAUACCGUCAUUAUUAAAUAAUUUUGGAAAAAUUAAUUAUUGAAAUUAAGUUAAAUUAAAUAUAUUAGAUCAAGGUGCAGCUAAUAGAUAAGUAAAAAUGGGUUACAAUAAAUAUUUAUUUAUAACGGAUUGUAAUUAGAAUUAUUUACAGAAAGGCGGAUCUAAUUGUAAAAAUAAUUUAAUAAGUUAUUUUGAUAUGGGCUCUAAAUUAUGUACAUAUCGCCCGUCACUUUCAUUUAAAAUGAAAUA